rnacentral:rRNA from 1 species
CCUACGGGAGGCUGCAGUGGGGAAUAUUGCACAAUGGGCGCAAGCCUGAUGUAGCCAUGCCGCGUGUGUGAAGAAGGCCUUCGGGUUGUAAAGCACUUUCAGCGGGGAGGAAGGCGGUGAGGUUAAUAACCUCAUCGAUUGACGUUACCCGCAGAAGAAGCACCGGCUAACUCCGUGCCAGCAGCCGCGGUAAUACGGAGGGUGCAAGCGUUAAUCGGAAUUACUGGGCGUAAAGCGCACGCAGGCGGUCUGUCAAGUCGGAUGUGAAAUCCCCGGGCUCAACCUGGGAACUGCAUUCGAAACUGGCAGGCUAGAGUCUUGUAGAGGGGGGUAGAAUUCCAGGUGUAGCGGUGAAAUGCGUAGAGAUCUGGAGGAAUACCGGUGGCGAAGGCGGCCCCCUGGACAAAGACUGACGCUCAGGUGCGAAAGCGUGGGGAGCAAACAGGAUUAGAUACCCUAGUAGUC